GCCUGGAUGGCUCAGUUGGUUAGUGUGUGGCACUGAUGAUGCCAAGGUCACAGGUUUGAUCCCUGAAUGGGGCA